rnacentral:rRNA from 1 species
GACGAACCGUGCGAACGUUAUUCGGAAUCAUUGGGCUUAAAGGGCGCGUAGGCGGCGGUGUAAGUUGGAAGUGAAAUCCCAUCGGCUCAACCGUGGAAUUGCUCCCAGUACUGCAUCGCUCGAGGGGGAUAGGGGUUUGCGGAACUACCGGUGGAGCGGUGAAAUGUGUUGAUAUCGGUGGGAACGCCAGUGGCGAAAGCGGCAAACUUGACCCUUCCUGACGCUGAGGCGCGAAAGCUAGGGGAGCAAACGGGG